rnacentral:rRNA from 1 species
AGGGUUUGAUCAGGCUCAGGACGAACGCUGGCGGCGUGCUUAACACAUGCAAGUCGAACGGAGAAUGGUGGAGAGUCUUUGACUCACUACCAGGAAGAGUGGCGGACGGGUGAGUAACGCGUGGAUAACCUGCCUGUAAGACUGGGAUAACACUGGGAAACCGGUGCUAAUACCGGAUAUUCUGUAGUAUGGGCAUCCAUAUUACAGGAAAGGGAUUAACCUCUGCUUACAGAUGGAUCCGCGUCCCAUUAGCUAGCUGGUAGGGUAACAGCCUACCAGGGUGACGAUGGGUAGCCGGCCUGAGAGGGUGGUCGGCCACACUGGGACUGAGACACGGCCCAGACUCCUACGGGAGGCAGCAGUGGGGAAUCUUGCGCAAUGGGCGAAAGCCUGACGCAGCGACGCCGCGUGGGUGACGAAGGCCUUCGGGUCGUAAAACCCUGUUGCAGGGGACGAAGGAAGUGACGGUACCCUGCCAGAAAGCCCCGGCUAACUACGUGCCAGCAGCCGCGGUAAUUC